rfam:Salmo salar isolate Sally breed double haploid chromosome ssa22, whole genome shotgun sequence.
AAUGCACCAAUUUGUAAGUCGCUCUGGAUAAGAGCGUCUGCUAAAUGUAAAUGA